rnacentral:ncRNA from 1 species
AUGCAGGCGUUGACAGGGAGAGUAGGUCGCUUCCCCGUACGUGCAGAGAGCCGGUGGCUGGUGCGAACCGGACGUAUGAAGAGACCGAAACACACCCUUGAGCCGUGUCCCGAACCCGCUCUGCGCAAUCAGCGCGGCAGCCCAGUAGGCGGCACCGGAAACUUCCACCGUUAUCAGCGGAAGAGGGGUUAGUUGUUGUGACCCCUGUCGAGAGAUGCUGUGCUCCCCUUCUGCGGAAGACCGGGGUGCAGUGUAACAUGGGUGGUACCGCGAGCCGAGCCUCGUCCCGUAA